rnacentral:tRNA from 1 species
GGAGUGGGUGUAGCUCAAGUGGUUGAGCUCCUGCUUUGCAUGUAUGAGGUCCUGGGUUCAAUCCCCAGUAUCUCCU